GGACACCGGGGGGUGCGCGUAGAAGCAGCCAUCAAGUCAAAGGAGGCUGACUUGCGCACUGGAGGGGGGAUCCGGAGCAGAAGAUGCCCGGGUCUAAAACGUACAACCGAGUCUACGGCAGCAGAGAGUAUGGGUAGGGGAGGUUCCCAUACGGGUUGAAGCAUGACCGUAAGGACAUGUGGACAGUAUGGGAGUGAGAAGGUUGGCAGGAGUAGCGAGAGGUGGGUGAGAAUCCCACAGGCCGUAAACCCAAGGUUUCCAGGGGAAGGUUCGUCCGCCAUGGGUUAGUCGGGCCCUAAGCGGAGGCCGAAAGGCGUCGGUGAUGGACAACAGGUUGAUAUUCCUGGACUACCGAGAACAGUUUGAGAGAAGGGAUGACACAGUAGGAUAAGCUAAGCACACUGUUG
rnacentral:rRNA from 1 species